rnacentral:rRNA from 1 species
GGGGAGGAUGGGGGCACCCUGAUCAGCAAUGCCGCGUGAGUGAAGAAGGCCUUCGGGUUGUAAAGCUCUUUUGUCAGGGAAGAAACGGUAGUAGCGAAUAACUACUACUAAUGACGGUACCUGAAGAAUAAGCACCGGCUAACUACGUGCCAGCAGCCGCGGUAAUACGUAGGGUGCAAGCGUUAAUCGGAAUUACUGGGCGUAAAGCGUGCGCAGGCGGUUGUGUAAGUCAGAUGUGAAAUCCCCGGGCUCAACCUGGGAAUUGCAUUUGAGACUGCACGGCUAGAGUGUGUCAGAGGGGGGUAGAAUUCCACGUGUAGCAGUGAAAUGCGUAGAUAUGUGGAGGAAUACCGAUGGCGAAGGCAGCCCCCUGGGAUAACACUGACGCUCAUGCACGAAAGCGUGGGGAGCAAACAGGAUUAGAUACCCGGGUAG